AGCUGACCGGCGCCGGCCCCGGGUGGGCUCCUCCUUAGAGUCGGGCUGCUUGAGAGUGCAGCCCUAAGCGGGUGGUAAACUCCAUCUAAGGCUAAAUACAACCACGAGACCGAUAGAGAACAAGUACCGUGAGGGAAAGUUGAAAAGAACUUUGAAGAGAGAGUUCAAGAGUACGUGAAACCGCUCAGGGGUAAACGGAAAAGACCCGAAACACCGAAACGAGAGAUUCACGUCUUCUCGCGGGAUCCGGCCUCCGUCGGGAGGACGGCCUAACGCCCCGUCCGGCUCGUCCGUGGCGGUGGGUAGGCUGCCUCCCUCGGUGUGUCCGGCUCCCCGGGGGCCCGCACUUCUCUCGCAGUAGGACGUCGCGACCCGCUCUGCGGCGGUCUAACGGCCGGUAGAGUGCCUGGCCGGGGCACUUCCUUCGGGUUGGGUUCCCGUCCAGCUCUCCGGACCCGCGGCCGUCGGUCCGGGCGGUAUGAAACGACUUGGCGCUGGGCCGCUCCUCGAGAGCGCCGAGCCUCCCCGCAAGCUCGGGUCGGGUCGCCGGGCCGUGCCCUCACGGGUACGCUCGGCGCCCGCCCGGACUGUUGGCGGGUGACGGCUCCGGCUGUCCGUCCAGCACGCUCGUCGGCGGCGCUUCAGAUUCGGGCACUUAUCCGACCCGUCUUGAAACACGGACCAAGGAGUCUAGCGUGUGCGCGAGUCAUUGGGUGUAAAACCUAAAGGCGAAAUGAAAGUGUCUGAGGGCGCUUGCGUCCUCGGCGGGAGGAUGGGCUCCCGGCCCCCCGGCCGGUGCCCCGCACUCCCGGGGCGUCUCAUUCUCAUUGCGAGUCGAGACGCACCAGGAGCGCACACGCUGGUACCCGAAAGAUGGUGAACUAUGCCUGGCCAGGACGAAGCCAGGGGAAACCCUGGUGGAGGUCCGAAGCGAUUCUGACGUGCAAAUCGAUCGUCUGAGCUGGGUAUAGGGGCGAAAGACCAAUCGAACCAUCUAGUAGCUGGUUCCCUCCGAAGUUUCCCUCAGGAUAGCUGGCUCUCGGGAAGAGACGAGUCUCAUCCGGUAGAGCGAAUGAUUAGAGGUGAUGGGGUCGAAACGACUUCAACCUAUUCUCAAACUCCCAAUAGAUGAGAGCCCCGGCUUGCUUGAAAGUGAAGCCGCGGGACUCGGAUCAGAGUGCCAAGUGGGCCAAUUUUGGUAAGCAGAACUGGCGCUGUGGGAUGAACCAAACGCAGAGUUAAGGCGCCUGAACCGACGCUCAUCUGAAACCAUGAAAGGCGUUGGUUGCUUAAGACAGCAGGACGGUGGCCAUGGAAGUCGGAAUCCGCUAAGGAGUGUGUAACAACUCACCUGCCGAAGCAACUAGCCCUGAAAAUGGAUGGCGCUGUAGCGUCGUGCCUAUACUCUGCCGUCAACGGCAAAGCGGGCGGCCCUUAACGGGGCGUCGCCGUUAAGCCUUGACGAGUAGGAGGGUCGCGGCGGUGUGCGCGGAAGGGUCUGGGCGUGAGCCCGCCUGGAGCCGCCGCCGGUGCAGAUCUUGGUGGUAGUAGCAAAUACUCCAGCGAGGCCCUGGAGGACUGAUGUGGAGAAGGGUUUCUUGUGAACAGCUGUUGCACAAGAGUCAGUCGAUCCUAAGCCCUAGGAGAAAUCCGAAGCGAUGGUCUGCCGUUAGUCUCUCCAGCGCCGCGCUUCC
rnacentral:rRNA from 1 species